UGCUUCUAGACAUCUACAUCUAUUUUAAUACCCUUCAACGCUAUAACACAUCAAGAAGAGACUAGACUCUUUACCUUCAGUGCACAGGAGAAAACUAUGAGUUCUGCGGGAGUUCCAUCCAGUCAGAAAGUCCUGCAGUUAUACCGGCAAAUUCUGAAGGAAGGAAGGUCACUAAAAUAUACAGAUUACGAAUUCUUUCGAAGAUCAAUAAGAAGGGAUUUUGAACGACAAAAAGAUGAGGUGGAAGCGAAGGUUAUCAAGGAACAGUACGAGAAAGGGAUAUAUUUUCUAGAGACAAAAUUAGGUGGGCUGCAAUGAAGGAGAUAACAUGAAAAUUCAGGAAUAACAUGAAGAUGCUGCCUGAGAACAAGUGGCUUGGGUUCCUGUGUCAGGGAUUGCUGUGUUGAAAAGUUGUUUGAGGUUUUCGUAUUACAGUCCAUGGACUCUGCAGCAGUACGUAAAGGACUCUGAAGCAGUGGCAGUUUACCGAGGACUGUUUGAUGUGCAGUUUUAUGCCCCUUUUUAAAAAUUCUGAUGGAUGGUUUACAGUGCUAAGUUUAUAAGUCCACUAGUGUGUUUGUUUCAGGCAUGAUUGUUAAGCUCAAUGCUUUGCAACUAGAUCAUUUACAAUUUUAUUUAUUUUUUUUUUAUUCUUGUCAUGUAUGUGUAGUUUUGAACCUUGUGCACCAUGGUGAAAUGUUAAUACAUUAAAAGUGCAUGUACAUGAAUUUGCAAUAAACACCUUAUUCAUUUAAAUUA